rnacentral:tRNA from 1 species
GGAGAUCAACGGAUCUGACCAAUCUUCAGCCGCUCAUAACGAUCUGGUUGCAGGUUCGAGUCCUGCCGGGCCCACCA